AUAGCUAUAGUAUAAUUAAUACAUUUGAUUUCCAAUCAGUUGAUCUUCACUUGCCUGAAGUAGCUAUA
rnacentral:tRNA from 1 species